rnacentral:rRNA from 1 species
UACGGAGGGUGCAAGCGUUAUCCGGAUUCACUGGGCUUAAAGGGCGCGUAGGUGGGUUGGUAAGUCAGUGGUGAAAUCUCCAGGCUUAACUUGGAAACUGCCAUUGAUACUAUCAAUCUUGAAUACCGUGGAGGUCAGCGGAAUAUGUCAUGUAGCGGUGAAAUGCUUAGAUAUGACAUAGAACACCAAUGGCGAAGGCAGCAGGCUACACGAAUAUUGACACUGAUGCACGAAAGCGUGGGGAUCAAACAGG